UCAUCCAGUACCACCACAGGGCCAUCCAAUCCCUCCCCAGCAACAUCUGGCCCCUCUUCCAUAGGACUCAGUUUUACCCAUGAUGGACCUGAUAGAGAUUAACACAGGAGACUCUGAUGUAUUUCUAAGAAUGAAUUGUUUAGCGACGUAUCACGCCACCGUGGAUUGUUGCCAUGAGAAAAAUUGCAUUUAAGCCUCCUAAUGAAGAGUCAUUUACAAGCUAAUAAAGGUUUUGAAUAUUAUUACCUCAUAGAAAUUUCUUUAUCACACAGC
rnacentral:lncRNA from 1 species